rnacentral:rRNA from 1 species
UACGUAGGGUGCGAGCGUUAAUCGGAAUUACUGGGCGUAAAGCGUGCGCAGGCGGUUUUGUAAGCCAGAUGUGAAAUCCCCGGGCUUAACCUGGGAAUGGCAUUGGUGACUGCACGGCUAGAGUGUGUCAGAGGGGGGUAGAAUUCCACGUGUAGCGGUGAAAUGCUUAGAUAUCGUCAAGAACACCUAUAGCGAAGGCAGCUUACUAGGCUGUAACUGACGCUGAGGCACGAAAGUGUGGGGAUCAAACAGG